rnacentral:rRNA from 1 species
UACGUAGGUGGCGAGCGUUGUCCGGAUUUACUGGGCGUAAAGGGCGUGCAGGCGGUUUGCUAAGUCUAGGGUGAAAGCUCCCGGCUUAACUGGGAGAGGUCCUUGGAUACUGGCAGACUUGAGGAGGGUAGAGGAGAGUGGAAUUCCCGGUGUAGUGGUGAUAUGCGUAGAUAUCGGGAGGAACACCAGUGGCGAAGGCGGCUCUCUGGGCCCUACCUGAUGCUGAGACGCGAAAGCGUGGGGAGCGAACCGG